GACGAACGCUGGCGGCGUGCCUAAUACAUGCAAGUCGAACGCAGUGGGGACGGGUGAGUAACACGUGGGUAACCUCCCAUCAGAGGGGAUAACACUUGGAAACAGGUGCUAAACCGAUACUGAUGGAUGGAACCGCGGGGCAUUGGCUAGUUGGUGAGGUAACGGCUCACCAAGGCCACGAUGCAUAGCCGGCCUGAGAGGGUGAUCGGCCACACUGGGACGGAGACACGGCCCAGACUCCUACGGGAGGCAGCAGUGGGGAAUCUGCGACAAUGGACGAAAGUCUGACCGAGCAACGCCGCGUGAGUGAAGAAGGUUUUCGGAUCGUAAAGCUCUGUUGUUAGGGAAGCGUUAUCUACCGAGAAAGCCACGGCUAACUACGUGCCAGCAGCCGCGGUAAUAC
rnacentral:rRNA from 1 species